rnacentral:rRNA from 1 species
AGUGAACGCUGGCGGUAGGCCUAACACAUGCAAGUCGAACGGCAGCACAGUAAGAGCUUGCUCUUACGGGUGGCGAGUGGCGGACGGGUGAGGAAUACAUCGGAAUCUACUUUUUCGUGGGGGAUAACGUAGGGAAACUUACGCUAAUACCGCAUACGACCUACGGGUGAAAGCAGGGGAUCUUCGGACCUUGCGCGAUUGAAUGAGCCGAUGUCGGAUUAGCUAGUUGGCGGGGUAAAGGCCCACCAAGGCGACGAUCCGUAGCUGGUCUGAGAGGAUGAUCAGCCACACUGGGACUGAGACACGGUCCAGACUCCUACGGGAGGCAGCAGUGGGGAAUAUUGGACAAUGGGCGCAAGCCUGAUCCAGCCAUACCGAGUGGGUGAAGAAGGCCUUCGGGUUGUAAAGCCCUUUUGUUGGGAAAGAAAAGCAGCAGGUUAAUACCCCGCUGUUCUGACGGUACCCAAAGAAUAAGCACCGGCUAACUUCGUG